rnacentral:lncRNA from 1 species
UACAAUCAACAUCACACUACUACUAGUCCAAAACAUAGAAAAUACAUCCUUGUAAUCCAAACAUCCUGUAGCGGUACGAAUGAACACUUGCUGAUUAUCCAUCCGGCUACAAGCUUGCUAAGUCUUUGCCAUAUCAACCUGCUGAUCUGAAACAAAUAAGGAUUGGGAUGAGACAUAAUGUCUCAGUGAGUUCUACCUCGGGGAAACCUAUGGUCACCACGUGUCUACAAUACAACCUGACGGUUGAUUAUACGUGUGUGGGUCAUGCUUACCUAGACGGUUGUGCAUACUAGAUCCGUCGUAGGGUUCUUUUUAACUUAGCUCAAAGGUCUUGUCUUGCUCUACAUAUCAUGGUGGUCAAGGGAACCUAGAACCGCUAUGUAGUACGAUAAACGCAUCCAGACCUAAACAUAAGUCAUACAUGACAUGAUCCUAGACCGGACGAUCGGGAAAUACUAAAAUCGUCUUUGGUAUAACUUCUUGGUCUUAUCUUGAUUCCUAAACUUAUACAUAACUUGCAUCUUAUCGUAAACGUAAGCAUAUCAUUUCAUGUUCAUUCAUUAAGUUAGUGGUUAGCGUUGAACAAACAAUAUUAUCUGAGUUCAUUUUACAGAUUAAUCCCGAGUGGAGUAACCCCGGAAGUUAAUCCCUUACUUGACCGAUGAAAACCUAGCUAAGGUACAUCGGACUUCCUCAACGACUUGCAGGCCUACCUUGUGGAGCGUAUCCCGUUCCCCUUGUGAGAACCUCUCGUAUCCCCCUUGGCGUGGAUAACGGAAAGACACGACACCUACAUCUUACUUUAUGGUCUUGACCAUGUAUGAUACUUGUCUUAGUACUUGCUUGCUUAGUCGUUCUUACUCAUAGUGAAUAGACUAUAACUAUCAAUUCACUACCUAACUUGAUUAAGGUUCUUGCUAACUUUCUAGGUUCUCGACGGUCUAUGCCAAGGCUCUAUGUUUUUACCCCAUUCUUAGUUCAUUGCUACCCAAUCAUGUUCGUAUAAAACUCUCAUAAGUCGUCCUUGUAUGUUAAGAUUAGCCAUGAUUUUCAUAAUCAAGGAUCGUUCGAUGUAUAUUGUGUUAGUUAAACGAUGUUUGGGGUUUUUACAGUUGAUGAACAUUGCGAGAAUAGCCCUCGGAUUGCACCACGGCCCCCAGGAGAGCCAACAUGCCAUUUCAAGUAGGAAAUGGCAAAGCCAUUUUGCUUGGUGAAAUGGGUUCUGGGAAAUUUCGCUAUUAGCGAAAUUCUUCGGGCCUGAGAUACAAAAAUCUGAGUUUUGACCCCAAACUCACCAAUUUCGAUCAUGCAAGGUUCAAUAUACAUCCAGCAAUCCAUAUAACAGUAGAAUCUAACUUGCAUGACAAUUUUAACAUGAAAACAACAAGAAUUUGACAUUUGUUACUAGAAAUCCUACUAAACUAAACUUAACAUAAUUCAUGCUUUCUUACUAGAAUUACUCAACCCAAAGGAAGGUUAACUAUCUAAGAACUCACCUUAACAUAAUCUUGCAAUUUCUUCAAGCUCCAAACUUCUUAGCUUCAAACCCUAGCUCUUGACCUUGUUUCAUCCAUGAUCCUUAACCCAUCAACCAAGCCAAGCUUCAAUCCAUUCUCUUGGUUGUUCCUUACUUGUUAAUUCACUAUCAUUCAUGCUUUGAUUACCAAUUGUAUGAAUUUGGAAGACUUGAGGGAAGAAGAUUGAGGGUAAGGGCGCCACUUCUUAGAGAGAAGGAGGAGAAAAUUCUCUUGUUCCAAACCUAGAGAGAGG